UGCCAGCCGCCGCGGUAAUACGGAGGGUGCAAGCGUUGUUCGGAAUUACUGGGCGUAAAGGGCGCGCAGGCGGUUUGAUUAGUCAGAUGUGAAAGCCCACGGCUCAACCGUGGAAGUGCAUUUGAAACUGUCAGACUUGAGUAUCAGAGGGGAAAGUGGAAUUCCUGGUGUAGAGGUGAAAUUCGUAGAUAUCAGGAGGAAUACCGGUGGCGAAGGCGACUUUCUGGCUGAAUACUGACGCUGAGGCGCGAAAGCGUGGGGAGCAAACAGGAUUAGAUA
rnacentral:rRNA from 1 species